rnacentral:rRNA from 1 species
AGAGUUUGAUCCUGGCUCAGAACGAACGCUGGCGGCGUGCCUAACACAUGCAAGUCGAACGCGAAAGGGGGCAACCCCCGGUAGCGUGGCAGACGGGUGAGUAACACGUGGGUAACCUACCCGGAGGUGGGGGAUAACCCUUCGAAAGGAGGGCUAAUACCGCAUGACAUCGUGGGGAUCUCGGUCCUUGCGAUCAAAGCUGGCCUCUGUUUACAAGCUAGCGCCACCGGAUGGGCCCGCGCCCCAUUAGCUAGUUGGUGAGGUAACGGCUCACCAAGGCGACGAUGGGUAGCCGGCCUGAGAGGGCGAUCGGCCACACUGGAACUGCGACACGGUCCAGACUCCUACGGGAGGCAGCAGUGAGGAAUAUUGCGCAAUGGGCGAAAGCCUGACGCAGCGACGCCGCGUGGAGGAUGAAGGUCUUCGGAUUGUAAACUCCUGUCGAGUGGGACGAAUGCCGUGAGGGUGAACAAUCCUUGCGGUUGACGGUACCGCUGGAGGAAGCCCCGGCUAACUCCGUGCCAGCAGCCGCGGUAAUACGGAGGGGGCUAGCGUUGUUCGGAAUCAUUGGGCGUAAAGGGCGCGUAGGCGGCCGAUCAAGUCGGAGGUGAAAUCCCUCGGCUCAACUGAGGAAUUGCCUUCGAUACUGUUCGGCUUGAGUCCUGGAGAGGGUAGCGGAAUUCCCGGUGUAGCGGUGAAAUGCGUAGAGACCGGGAAGAACACCAGUGGCGAAGGCGGCUACCUGGACAGGUACUGACGCUGAAGCGCGAAAGCUAGGGGAGCAAACAGGAUUAGAUACCCCUGUAGUCC